GUGGACUCUGGGAGAUGGUGAUGGACAGGGAGGCCUGGUGUGCUGGGGUUCAUGGGGUUGCAGAGUUGGACACGACUGAGCAACUGAACUGAAUUUAAAGGAAGAGGGCCUCCCUUUCUCGUUUUCCCUUUCUUCAGGCUAGAGUAGGGUCAUCAUGAGCUGGCAUCCUGGGCCAAGGGGACAAGUAUCACAGUAUCGAAGAACCCUUGGCACCCUCACAGAGCAGAGCUGCACACCAACUUGGACUGUGGCAGGAGAGAGAAAUAACAUUUCUGUGUAAUGCAAGCUAUCAUUAUUUUGAAUAUCUCACAUGUAGCCAAAUUUUAAGCUGUUCAGUUUGGGGGCAGCAGAAAGGAGGGGAAGGUGAUGGUAAACCCAUUGGGCCACAGGACUUGGCCAUGUUCCCUGCUAUUGCUUAUAGUUCAGGUAAUAAAACCAUUAUGUUAUCCUCUCUCUUACACACCCCUGCAUCUCUUUCUCUCUCUCAAUUGUUACUACCUGAAGAUCAGGACAAAGGGUGAUAUUCACCGAGAUCUUCAAUCUCCACCCAGUUGCUGGUAGAAAAAUGGGUGUAAAGAAACCAGAGAUUAUCUGGACUUUCUUCUGCAAAGCAGGCCUUACUUACGCAGGGGACAGAUCAGCAGUGGAGUUCCCCCUGGAUGUAGGAAGCUGAAGAGAAAAUGUCCCAGGGGUUUUAGAUGGUUGCAUUUCUUUGCUCACCAUCUGAGACUUUCCCCUUUUAGAAUACCUUCCAGUACCACAGAGGGUGGGAAGCUAUAUUUCCUUACUUCCCUUGAAGCCAAUAUGACAUACUUGCAUGAGAUUUGGAAAAUGAAAGUGAAAUGGAAGCUUUGCUCAUGAUGCUUCUGCUAUGGAUUUUUGUAAAGCCAGUCAUGGACAGACUGGUAUUUAUUCUAAGGCACCACCAGCGGCUUUGUGUGUUUUGAGAGGCUCUUUGUGAAUUCAGCAAGUAUGAUGUGGUUCUGGGGCCAGUACAGACCUACUCGUUUCAUUGUGCUUUGCAGAGAUUAUGUUUUGUACAAACUGAAGGUCUGUGGCAACUAUGUGUUGAACAAGGCGAUUGGUGCCAUUUUCCCAACAGCAUUUAUUCACUUCAUGUCUCUGUGUCAGAUUUUGGUAAUUCUCACAAUUUCUCAAACUUUCUCAUUAUUACUAUAUUUGUUUUAGUGGCCUUGAUCGAUGAUCUUUGGUGUUGUUACUGCAACUGGCUGAAGGCUCAGAUAAUGGUUAGCGUUUUUUAGCAAUAAAGUAUUUUUAAAUUCAGCAGGUUGAACUCCGAGGCCAAAUCCCUUCACAGUCCAGGAUACUCACUACGUGGGCCAACAACUUCCAAAGGCAGAAAAAAGGACCCCUGGUGACUAGCUCUCUUUAAGACAGAAUAAAAUCUUUCCCAUCAGAACCCCCGAGAAGACGUCAUCUCACUUGAUACCAGGUCAUGUGUCUAUUGCUGGGGAUGGGAACAUCAUGAUUGGUUCAGCUGUUAACCAAUCAGGACUUUUUUUUUUUUUUUGGAGGGUUCCUGUCCUCAAUUCCCCACAGAGGGCAGGGGGCACGGUGGUCAUUUUACAGCUGUGGGGGCACUUCAAGCGAGGGAGACAGGGAGGAGUGGAUGCUACUGGGAGGCACCCCACCAGCCUCCGCUAGUCUCCCACACCUGCUACAUUUGAGGCGGGUAGCCGCCUCACCAAGCCGGGUUUACAGGCCCCCCUUCCACCCGUUCCAGUCUCAGGCUCUUCCCUCUGCGUUCCCUCACACUUCAAAGCAGCCCUCAGGAGAAAUCCGCCUGGUGGAGACCUGGGGCCUUCAGUCAACAGCCAAGGGAAUGAACCAUCUAGAAAGCAGAUCUUUUAACCUUUAGUUGACUGCUACUUUGGUUCUCAUCUUGACGGAAACCUCGUGAGAGACACUCUUAACCAGAACUAUCCAGUCUCCACCAGAGUAUUUGGAGGUGUAUACUCUGUAUGUGGCCACAGCUAAAAUAGCCCUAUUAUUUGAGAGUGGAUAAAAUCCAGCAAUAUGUGAACCAUGAACUUCCUGAUGUUCAAGCUGGUUUUAGAAAAGGCAGAGGAACCAGAAAUCAAAUUGCCAACAUCCGCUGGAUCAUGGAAAAAGCAAGAGAGUUCCAGAAAAAC